UGUGCCUCUGUAUUUAUGGGUUGUUCAUUUAUCUUUCCUUUUCAAAUGCCUUUGCAUUAUUAAACUGCUUGAUAAUUUAUUUAUUUUGUCAUUUUGCUUUCAGAGGUGGUGACCAAGUCUGUUUCCUUUUCUCAAAACAAGGUGAAUUUUUCCGCUCUUUUUGAAGUGUUGGCUGUGUUGCUGGAGUGGACAUCAGAGGCUCAUCUUCAAAAAAUGCCAACAUUUCAGGAUUCACCGCAAGGAAGGCUUCAAGAACAACAGUUGGACUUUCCUUCAGCUCUAGUGCAUGAAAAAUGUUUGAAAGUAUAUUACGGACUCACAAAGUGACCAGAUCCCAG